rnacentral:rRNA from 1 species
AACCCCGCUCAUCGUGGUGGGUUUGAACUGAGAUGUGAGUGCAGAGAGAGAGUAGACUCCUGUGUAGCGGUAAAAUGCGUAGAUAUAGGAGACACAGUGCGAGCGUCUCUCUCUCUGUACUGCGCUGAGCGGCGAAAAGCGUGGGGCARCCAACAGGAUUAGAUUCCCUGGUAAUACACGCCGUAAAGGGAUGAGGUAGUAGGUGUCGGGGGGUUUUCCCCUCUUUCUUGCAGCUUUCACACUUAUAACUCCUCCUCGGGAGUACUCCGCACGAGGUAAAAUCUAAGAAAUUUUCGGGGGGGCGCACCAACAAGCGGAGCACCUGGUUUUAUUUUUAAACACCACGCAGAACCUUCUCUCAGGUUCGCAUCUCCCUGAACUCUCCUUAAAAAGAGAUUUCCCUUUGGGGGCAAAAGUGCCAGGUGGCCCAUGGUUGUCGUCAACUCGUGUCGUGAGAUGUUGGGUUAAAUCCCGCCACGAACGCAAACCUUCAACUUUUAUUUGCACCAUUUAGUUGGGCACUCUAAGGGGACUUCCGGGGACAAAUCGGAGGAAGGUGGGGAUGACGUCAAAUCAUCAUGCCCCUUAUGAUUUGGGCUACACCCGUGCUACAAUGGGCAAUACAAAGGGCUGCCAAACCGCGAGGUCAAGCUAAUCCCAUAAAGGCUUUCUCAGUUCGGAUUGUAGUCUGCAACUCGCCUACAUGAAGCUGGAAUCCCUAGUAAUCGCAGAUCAGCAUGCUCCGGUGAAUACGUUUCCGGGUCUUGUACCCCCCCCCCCUCCCCCCCCGAGAGUUUGUAACCCCCGGAAUCGGUGGAGUAACCUUUUAGUAGUUUAGUCCCUUCUUAAG